UACGAAGGGGGCUAGCGUUGCUCGGAAUCACUGGGCGUAAAGGGUGCGUAGGCGGGUCUUUAAGUCAGAUGUGAAAUCCUGGAGCUCAACUCCAGAACUGCCUUUGAUACUGAGGAUCUUGAGUACGGGAGAGGUGAGUGGAACUGCGAGUGUAGAGGUGAAAUUCGUAGAUAUUCGCAAGAACACCAGUGGCGAAGGCGGCUCACUGGCCCGUUACUGACGCUGAGGCACGAAAGCGUGGGGAGCAAACAGG
rnacentral:rRNA from 1 species